rnacentral:lncRNA from 1 species
GACUGACUUACUGACUUACUGACUGAAGGGCGGGCGGGCGCAGACUGACUGACUGACUUACUGACUGAAGGGCGGGCGGGCAGGCGGGCGCAGACUGACGGGUGGGCGGGCGGGUGCAGACUGACUGACCGACGGGCGGGCGGGCGCAGAUUGACUGGCGCCGACUGACGGGCCGACUGACGGGAGGGCGGGUGCAGACUGACGGACGGACGCGCGGGCGGGCGGGCACAGACUGACGGACGGACUGACUGCCGGCCUGACGGCGGGCUGCGCGCGCCCGCGAGGCGCCCGGCCCAGCUCCCCGCACCCCCGCCUUCCGGCGCCCGCUGCCUCCUGCCUCCCCCUCUAGUCGGACCCGCGCGGCCUGGCGAGGACGCCGAGAGAACCUUCGAGAGCUUUCCAGAACCUUCGAGAUUCCCGCGGUGCCCGUGAGGGAGGCGCUUCUGGCCGAGGGCCGGCCAAGCUUGGGGCGCGGAGUGGCGGCGUGUGCCCUCCCGGGCGGACGGUCCCCUGGCCUCGCUUCUUUGCGGAGUCGUCACUGUGACGUCCCUUUUGCCCGACGCGGGGCCACGCACCGCCUGCUUGGUUUCUGGCGCGCCUCCGUCACCUCAGAUGUGCGGGUGGCGCCCCGGGGUCCCUGGUGUCCCCAGGCCGUGCGGCCCCCUGCUCCCGGGGUGGCCUGUGACCGCUGGCCUGACAGGGGGAGGCCGUGCUGGGGGAGGACAGGCACCCCGGGGUGCGCCCCCGUUGUCACCUCGCUGUGGUUCACGUCCGGGAGCCAUCUCGCUGCCCGUGUCGCCGUCUCACGUUAACCAGGACGACCGUGCCGCGAGAGCAGCUCUGCCACCGGCCCGCAGCAUCCAGCGCCGGGUACGUGUCAGGGGACAGAGGUGACCGUGCGGUGUCCAUCUGGUGGGAGCCGUCGGGCCCCUCGGUGUCCGGCAGUGGAGGCACGGUGGCCACACGAGGACAGAGCCACGUCGCUGCGCGUCCGAGUCCGGAGAGAAGCGUUUCUGGUGCGUUUCCAGCAGAGGGGCAGAUUUUGUUUUUUUUGCUGAGAAAGACUGGCCCCGAAUGCGGCGUGCUGCCUGCGUGUUGGUGUGUGAGGUGCCGCCACAGCAUGGCUGUCGGGCGGGGAAGGCCCAACCCGUGAACCUGGGCCACCGAUGCGGACGUGGGACCUCACGGCUCGGCCGCCGCCCCGGAGGCAGCUUCUCGGGCCGCAUGCGUCUCGGUGACCUGGGACGCCUGUGCAUCCUCCGGGCGGGCCUGUGAGUGACCGUGGGGACGGCCGGGUGUGCGCGGAGGCGACAGCCAUGGUAGCACGCCGUGACCGUGCGCUCUGUGCCCGCCGCAGCCCCGAGCGGGCAGUGUGACAGUUGGCCGCAGUGUUCCCGCUGUCCCUGCACGACAGGGCCCCACCGAGCCUGUCGGCGCAGCCAGCUCAGCCUGCGGGUCUGGGCCCCGAGCCGCUCUCGCCCCGCGGCCUCUGCACGCGCCCCCGGCCCCCGGGGAGCCAACCUGGCACUCGACCUGUCACAUGGCGCUCAGGCUCCGAGGGCACGGCGGGGACACUGCCAGGCCUCCUUCCCGCCACGUCUCCUGCUGAGGGUGGGCCACGAGCCAGCUCAGACGGAGGGAGAGGCUUCGCCCAGCAGACGGGGCUCGCGGACCACUGCCUCUUACGGACGAGGGGACCGAGGCGGAGGGCGGCCAGGCCCCUGGUCCGGGGCACAGCGGGGACGGGAAACCGAGUCCCGCUUCAGAGCCCGGACCCGUCAGCGAGCCCAGGUUCCAACAGAGCCAACUCGGGUGCGGUGUGGCUGGCGUGGGAGUGCCCUGUGGGGCUGUGACCGAGAAUGGCAAGCUGGUGGCUCCGGAACACAGCUGUUUAUGAGCUCACGGUUCUGCAGGAUCUGCGACCUCGCGUGGGCGGGGCUGCGCCCUCCCGGGGCCCUGGCGAUCCUGGGCUCGGGGACACAUCCUCCCGUCUCCGCCUCGGCCUUCACGUGGCCUGCCUUCUCCUCCAUGGCCGUGUCUGUCCGCUUCCUGCAGGGACGCCCGUCACCGCACGAGGGCCGUCCCACUCCAGCUCAACCACGCCUCCGCUGAGGACGUCCGCAGAGACCCUGCUUCCAGCGAGGUCCCCGUCUGAGGUUCCGAGUGGACGUGAAUUGUGGGGGGACGCCGUUCAGUCCAGCCCAGCCAGCGGUCAGUCCCGACCCGCAGGGAGCUUGUCGCCGCAGCGCUGCCUCGCUGAUUCCCGCCGUACAGUCAUUAUUCGUCUACCUGCUCGCCUCCCCGGGACGCCGACCCCCUGCAGAGGGGAGCGC